AAAAAAUCUACUUAAAAGCACCGUAUAACUUCUUGUAGUUUUAUAAUGACUAAGUGGGCAUACAAGUUAAAAAGAGGCCGUCGGAAUUUAAAACUAAUGAGUUUAACAUUCUAAUUUUUUUAAGUAACUAGAUUUUAAAUUAAUAAUUUAUACGUAAUUCAAUAAUUUUUAAAAAUAAAUACAUGAUUUAGACAAUCGAAUCUGUAUCUAAAGAGAUAGCUCCGCCC
rnacentral:lncRNA from 1 species